rnacentral:rRNA from 1 species
AUUGAACGCUGGCGGCAUGCUUUACACAUGCAAGUCGAACGGUAACAGGCCGCAAGGUGCUGACGAGUGGGGAACGGGUGAGUAAUGCAUCGGAACGUGCCCAGUCGUGGGGGAUAACUACUCGAAAGAGUAGCUAAUACCGCAUACGAUCUAUGGAUGAAAGCGGGGGACCGUAAGGCCUCGCGCGAUUGGAGCGGCCGAUGUCAGAUUAGGUAGUUGGUGGGGUAAAGGCUCACCAAGCCAACGAUCUGUAGCUGGUCUGAGAGGACGACCAGCCACACUGGGACUGAGACACGGCCCAGACUCCUACGGGAGGCAGCAGUGGGGAAUUUUGGACAAUGGGCGCAAGCCUGAUCCAGCAAUGCCGCGUGCAGGAAGAAGGCCUUCGGGUUGUAAACUGCUUUUGUACGGAACGAAACGGCUCUGGUUAAUACCCGGGGCUAAUGACGGUACCGUAAGAAUAAGCACCGGCUAACUACGUG